UACGUAGGGGGCAAGCGUUGUCCGGAAUCAUUGGGCGUAAAGAGCGUGUAGGCGGCCCGAUAAGUCCGCCGUGAAAGCCCAGGGCUCAACCCUGGGAUGCCGGUGGAUACUGUCGGGCUAGAAUCCGGAAGAGGCGAGUGGAAUUCCCAGUGUAGAGGUGAAAUUCGUAGAUAUUGGGAAGAACACCCGUGGCUAAGGCGGCUCUCUAGUACGGUACUGACGCUGAGACGCGAAAGCGUGGGGAGCGAACAGG
rnacentral:rRNA from 1 species